AAAAAAAAAAAAAAAAAAAAAAAAAAAAAAAAAAAAGGGGCUCACUAACGGAGAAGAAGCAAUUAUUUCUCCUUUUUCUUGGGUGGGGGAAGGGUGGCGGUGGUGUUAAGAAUCUAAAUUAUCAUCAGAUCGUAGUUUACCUGAAUUUCUUGAAGUGUCUCAACUUAAAAAUGAGUUAUCUGGAGUAAUGAAGUUAGUGUUGUUUUCUUCUCCACCCCAGACAGGUUGAAGUCCAUCAAAAUGCCACAGCUGUUGACUUUGUUGUCUGUUCCUGUUGAUUUGUCCCUCAGGCCAGACUGGCGGUGUAAACAUGCCUGGCUGGCUAAUAUGCACCGGGGAUCCACUCUAGAAGUUUUGAAGAGUUCAUACAACAUUAAAACGUGAGAAGGAAAACCAAUCAAAUGUCUUGCACAUUUUUCCCAUGGCAAUUCUACAAAUUAACAUAAUACAUGUUGGGGAUUCAUGUACAUCUGGGAAGGUCCAGACACGUAUUUAUGUCGUGUCGUUUCAAGUCCACACACGUAUCUGAAGUGUUGCAUACACAAAUUAGGUAAUUGUCAAGCAAUUUAAAAGACCUCUUAUGAACCCUCCAUACCCGCGCAAAAUAAUAUUAAAUGGAAAUAUGCCAAUUUUAGAACAUAACAAAAACGAUGCUUGAAAUUAUUAAACAAAUUCGUAGUUCCAACUGAAAUCAAGCCACAAUUAUUACAGUUCUGUUUUUUGAUAUGUUACCAUCGCAUAAAUAACUAAUUUUAGAGCAAGCAUCUGCAGGAUGGAUAGGGCUAGAAGUCCUUGGGUUAGAUGGCACAAGUAGACUUAGGUUAUUGUUCCACUUUGUGCUUUGCCUUAAUUUCCUUAUUGCUGUUCUAGGCCUUUUUAAUUUAUUACUUUGCAGGUACAAUUUAGGUCCCCCUACCUAUGUAUGCUCACGUUUAUAUCAAUAAAAGGGUAGGGGAAUCCAAAUGCCCAAGUGGGAUUAUGCAAGCAGGCCUAAAAACCCUGGCCUACCCUGCUCGGCUUUACUUCCCCCACCCCCAAAAAAAGGAAAAAGAAAAAGGAAAUAACUAAUACUAGAAAGCAAUUCUCUCUUUGCAUUUUUUCUCACAAACAGUGAUUACAGAAUUGACAAGUAAAUAAAACUUAC
rnacentral:lncRNA from 1 species